GGGGGUAUAGCUCAGUGGUAGAGUGUUUGACUGCGGAUCAAGUAAGUGGUCCUUGGUUCAAAUCCAAGGGCUCCCU